rnacentral:misc_RNA from 1 species
CCUUGUGGAGAAGGACGCCGAAGGUGGGGCUGAUGACUGGGGUGAAGUCGUAACAAGGUAGCCGUACCGGAAGGUGCGGCUGGAUCACCUCCUAACAGGGAGACAAUAAAUUGAUUGUGAUGUCUAAGUUAUUUAUUCUUAGGCCGCAAUCCUGUCACCUUAAGGUCGAUCGGUACCUCAGAUUUUUGAAUUAGUUUUAUAAUUGAUUCUUUGAUUUCAGUUCCUAAACUUGUCUAGGUCACACCCAACAAAGGUUUCUCCUGGGCCAUUAGCUCAGGUGGUUAGAGCGCACCCCUGAUAAGGGUGAGGUCCCUGGUUCAAGUCCAGGAUGGCCCAUUCGUUGUUGGGGGUAUAGCUCAGUUGGUAGAGCGCCUGCUUUGCAAGCAGGAUGUCAGCGGUUCGAGUCCGCUUACCUCCACUGAAAACUAUCCUGAUAACUAAAUUUCUGGAGAAAAAAAAUUGUAGAUGUGGCUUAGAAUUGUCUAUUUGAAAAGAACCUAGCUUCUUGUCAUCUUUUUAUAGUUGAUAAAAUGCUGGGCUCGCAUGGAUUAUUUCCAUGAGAAUUCAGUAGAACCUUGAAAACUGCAUAGAUUAGAAAGAAUAAAGCAUCUCAUGGAUGCAUAGUUCUGUAUUUAUAAUUUAGCCUUAAAACUAAAUUAUUUAAUUCUAGAAUUCAUGUUUAAUUCUUGAGUAAUUGCCGAGCACAAUUGAUUUUGUGAUUGUAUUUAAGGUCAAGCUACAAAGGGCUCAUGG